UUUAUAUUCCUUGCAGACAGCUGGUCAUUUGCAUCCUUUUAGAGCAUCGUUAAGGCACUUGGGGGUUUACCUGUCUCCUUGGGGUCACCUGGAUAGUGCAAAUGGGUGUGGAGCCUUCUUGGAACUGCUGAAAGGACUGUGUUGUAGA